GACGAACGCUGGCGGCGUGCUUAACACAUGCAAGUCGAACGGAAAGGCCCUGCUUUUGUGGGGUGCUCGAGUGGCGAACGGGUGAGUAACACGUGAGUAACCUGCCCUUGACUUUGGGAUAACUUCAGGAAACUGGGGCUAAUACCGGAUAGGAGCUCCUGCUGCAUGGUGGGGGUUGGAAAGUUUCGGCGGUUGGGGAUGGACUCGCGGCUUAUCAGCUUGUUGGUGGGGUAGUGGCUUACCAAGGCUUUGACGGGUAGCCGGCCUGAGAGGGUGACCGGCAGCAGUGGGAAAGAGAAACGGACGGGAGUACGACGGGAGGAAGCAGUGGGGGAGGGUGAAGAAGGGGGGGAGGCCUGAAGCAGCAAGGCCGGGUGAGGGAGGGGGGGCGAAGGGUUGGAAACAAAUUUCGCCGGGGAAGAAGAGUGAGUGAAGGGGAUGGGUAAAGAAGAAAAGGAAAAAUAAAUG
rnacentral:rRNA from 1 species